GGGGAGAGCUCUGUUUACUCUGAUGUGAAGAUUGGAGCUACAGCUGUAUAUUAUAGAGAUGUGGCUUCUGUUUUAGACAACAGUCCCAUGUACGCCCAGGUGACCAGGCACGAUAAAGGCAAACGCAAGAAAAAGAAAGCAGAAUCUACUCCUGCUGCAACUGAUGAAGCUGUUUAUUCUCAAGUGAAUCCAGGAACAUCUUCUGGUCUGUGAGGAGCUGUAUCGAGAAAUAGUUGACAGAUUUUUAGCACAAAGCAGAAGACUACUGAGUUAUUAUCUUUAAUGUUUUUACAGUUUUUUGUCAUUUAGUUUUUGUGGGAUACUUUGAAUGCAGGUUGUUCUAAAAAGCAGCAACAGUCUGAUACAGUGUAUU